rnacentral:tmRNA from 2 species
GGCAGUGAGACACAUCGGGGAUGGCGGCCGGGGCACUUGGCUCCGUUUCUAACCGGCUGCGACACGAGAACGGAGACACGCACGUAGUGGUCUGCGACGACGUGUUCUCGGACGCGGGUUCAACUCCCGCCGCCUCCACCA